GAUUUCUGGUUUAUGUGCCCACCUGCACUGGCAACCAGUGUGGCUUGUGUGACUGCAAGCGUGGUCACAUGGGGCAGGUCACAUGACUAACUAGGAAGUUAUAAAGUUUGGUUUGUUGAGAGCUCACAUUCUCUUGCUGCUUCCACCACUUGCUCUUUGUGACUGUUAAGGUCCCCUGUCAUGCAGGGUGAAUGCUAGAACCAUGUGUUUCACUCUUCAUGGAGGACACUGAGGUGACUGCCUGAUUUUAAGAUUUAUGAGUGCUGGGCUACAGACACUGAUGCUCUGCACUGGAAUGUUCCUUUCUUCCUGUGUCACUGUGCUGUGGGGAGUAGUGAACGCUCUUGCAAAGGACCAGGCCAGCCACUGUGUUACUGUUAGUUUUUGGGUUUGUUUGUUUGCUUUCAUUUUGUUUGUCUUUUUCUUUGUUUGCAUUGUCUCUAUAACUGCUUGUGCUGGGAGCUGGCUGUUCCUCUUUUGUCCUAUCAUAGGCUGUCUUUGUACAAGGCCGGAUCCGCAACUCAGUACUGCUCCUUUCGGGUUGGGUGCCACAUGGAGGGAGAUAUUUUCUCGGUGUGUACUGGUAAACAACACAGUGUGGUAUUUUGUAGUGGUAUCCUGUAGUGGUAUUUACUUCUUGUGUUUGCAGUGCUUGCCGUGUUGCAUUCUUUUGUGGUGCUGGGUUUGCUGUCUCUCUCUCCCUCCCUCACCAGGGCCCCUCUCCAAGACGGGAGCUGUGUGUGCUGACCCGACCUUAUUAGCCUGAGGAGUCUCAGCCAGUUAUCCCAUGCAGUCUUUCUUACAUUCUGGAUUGUAUUUAUACUAUUUGUAAUAAAUUUGAGUAUUUCGCAUA